ACAUUAAAGACACAGACAUCCAGAAAUGCUUGCUGGUUAUUUCUAUCAGUAAAUUUAGGUUAUCCUCAAGGGAAUUUGUGCCAUAUAUAUAUAUAUAUACAUGUACAUUAUCUCUGAUCAGGGCUUUCGCUUAAUUUGACAUACAUGUACAUGUAAAAGCCACGUAAGAAUCUGGUGUGUUGGGUCGUCUAUCAUGAAAAAGGCUGCCAUUUAAGCCCAUACAAGGCCUGGUGGCUUAAACCUUGGAUUAGAUUGGUUGAAUAUGAAUAUUUGGUGGCAGUGUUACAAUGGUCUUAAAUUUAAAGACCUUGAACAAAAGCUGACAUUCCUACUUACAAUAGAAUCAACACCACCAGAUAUACUGGUUAUUCACUGCGGGGGUAAUGAUCUUGGAACAUUAAAUGUUGCAGAUUUCCGUAGAAAAAUAAGGACAACAUUUCAAUUUAUUAUAAAUAGGUUUCCAAAUACAUGUACAUUCAUAGUGUGGUCGCAAAUCCUACCCCAAAAAUUUCUGGUAGAUGCUAAGGCCUUAUCAAAACAAAGGUCCAGACUUAAUAAUUUUGUAGCCAAAAGAAUACUGGAAUUAGGUGGCGCAUACAUAAGAUAUCCAGAUAUAAAAUUUGGCAUUAGUCACUUAUUCCAAAGUGACAGCAUUCAUCUUUUUGAUAUUGGUAACAGUAUUCAUUAAUACACUUCAAGGUGCUUUGGAGCAUUUUUACUUGGCUAAUGGAAAUGUUUAUCCAUUUUAAUAUUUGAUGUUUGUAUGGACAAAAUGUAAUUCUUGAUAUGGCCAGCUCAGCUCUGUGUUGCUUUCGUCCCACAUUAUGAAGCGUAUCUGAUUCCUCAUCAUGGCGGUGAUCCCAAUUCGGACAUUACAUGCCCAUUAUCGGAAUCAUAUGGCGUAUAACAAGCAACACAAUUAGAAAACUUUCCUGGCUUGAUUCCCUGAUUCUCAGGAUCACGUCAAAGUGAUUCCCUGUCACGCCUCAGGAUCACUUAACUGUGUAUAUAUGUUAAUGUGUUCAAAAUUGGUAAUUAUUGGUGUUUUAGUGUUUGGAAUUUAAAACUUGGUAUGCUAUGAAGGCUUCAGCAUUUAUGGAUGGACACGAUGGUUAUGGACAUGGGACACACCAAACUAGUUUAAUGGCUGUCAAACAUAAUAAUAAUUAAACUCGCUCAGCUGUGCCAUAUCAUUGCCAAUAAAUUCAAUUUUAAUUCAA